AGCAUAAUCAAUUGUUCUUUAAAUAAGGACUAGUAUGAACGGCAUCACGAGGGUUUAACUGUCUCCCUAAUUUAAUUAAUGAAAUUGAUCUUCCCGUGAAGAAGCGGGAAUAUAUUUAUAAGACGAAAAGACCCCAUGGAGCUUUAAAUUUAUUCUCAAUUACCAAACCCAAAACAUAUACCUGGUAAAAGUGACUAUAAUUUUCGGUUGGGGCGACCCUGGAGAAAAAUUAAUCCUCCAAGCUGAAUAGAUUAAAAAUCUAAUAUUAGAGUGACAACUCAAAUAAUCAAAACCUUGACAAAAUGACCCAGAACAUAUCUGAUCAACGAACCAAGUUACCCUGGGGAUAACAGCGCAAUCCAUUUCAAGAGCCCUUAUCGACAAAUGGGUUUACGACCUCGAUGUUGGAU
rnacentral:rRNA from 1 species